rnacentral:ncRNA from 1 species
AUAAAAGCGUUGACCGGGAAAAGUAAGGCCUCAGGUUUUUCUUACAGAGAGUGCGGGAUGCUGGAAGCCGCGCAGAAAACGAAGCCCGAAGAACACCCGUGAGCCGCUCCCUGAACCUGCGUGCGCAGCAGUAGGGGCAGACGUGCGCCGCUCGUUAUCGCGGCAGUGCUUUCAACGGGGAGAGCGCACAAAAGUGACCGGCGUAUUGCGUAUGCCGGUAAUUUAGGUGGCACCACGGAUACGGCAGCAUAUUCGUCCUAGGA